rnacentral:rRNA from 1 species
AUUGAACGCUGGCGGCAUGCCUAACACAUGCAAGUCGAACGGCAGCACAGAUAUAGUUUACUAUAUUGGGUGGCGAGUGGCGGACGGGUGAGUAACGCGUGGGUAUAUGACCUAAAGACGGGGACAACUUGCGGAAACGCGAGCUAAUACCGGAUAAGCUCUGAGGAGGAAAGCUGGGGAUCUGGCGACAGACCUGGCGCUUUAGGAGUAACCUGCGUCCAAUUAGCUAGUUGGUAGGGUAAAGGCCUACCAAGGCGACGAUUGGUAGCUGGUCUGAGAGGACGGACAGCCACACUGGGACUGAGACACGGCCCAGACUCCUACGGGAGGCAGCAGUGGGGAAUAUUGGACAAUGGGGGGAACCCGUCGAUCCACGCAAUAGCCGCCGUGUGUGAAGAAGGCC